rnacentral:rRNA from 1 species
UACAGAGGUCUCAAGCGUUGUUCGGAUUCAUUGGGCGUAAAGGGUGCGUAGGUGGCGGGGCAAGUUUGGUGUGAAAUCCCGGGGCUCAACCCCGGAACUGCACUGAAUACUGCCUUGCUUGAGCACUGGAGAGAGAACUGGAAUUUACGGUGUAGCAGUGAAAUGCGUAGAUAUCGUAAGGAAGACCAGUGGCGAAGGCGAGUUCCUGGACAGUUGCUGACACUGAGGCACGAAGGCUAGGGGAGCAAACGGG